AGUGAACGCUGGCGGUAGGCCUAACACAUGCAAGUCGAACGGCAGCACAGUAAGAGCUUGCUCUUACGGGUGGCGAGUGGCGGACGGGUGAGGAAUACAUCGGAAUCUACUUUUUCGUGGGGGAUAACGUAGGGAAACUUACGCUAAUACCGCAUACGCCCUACGGGUGAAAGCAUGGGAUCUUCGGACCUUGCGCGAUUGCAUGAGCCGAUGUCGGAUUAGUUAGUUGGCGGGGUAAAGGCCCACCAAGGCGACGAUCCGUAGCUGGUCUGAGUGGAUGAUCAGCCACACUAGAACUGAGACACGGUCCAGACUCCUACGGGAGGCAGCAGUGGGGAAUAUUGGACAAUGGGCGCAAACCUGAUCCAGCGAUACCGCGUGGGUGAAGAAGGCCUUCGGGUUGUAAAGCCCUUUUGUUGGGAAAGAAAAGCAGCAGGUUAAUACCCCGCUGUUCUGACGGUACCCAAAGAAUAAGCACCGGCUAACUUCGUG
rnacentral:rRNA from 1 species